AUUGAACGCUGGCGGCGUGCCUUACACAUGCAAGUCGAACGGCAGCACGGGGCAACCUGGUGGCGAGUGGCGAACGGGUGAGUAAUGCAUCGGAACGUACCUUUCAGUGGGGGAUAACGUAGCGAAAGUUACGCUAAUACUGCAUAUUCUGUGAGCAGGAAAGCAGGGGAUCGCAAGACCUUGCGCUGAUUGAGCGGCCGAUGUCAGAUUAGCUAGUUGGUGAGGUAAAGGCUCACCAAGGCGACGAUCUGUAGCGGGUCUGAGAGGAUGAUCCGCCACACUGGAACAGAGCCACGGUCCAGACUACUACGGGAGGCAGCAGUGGGGAAUGUUGGACAAUGGGGGCAACCCUGAUCCAGCCAUGCCGCGUGAGUGAAGAAGGCCUUCGGGUUGUAAAGCUCUUUCGGCCGGGAAGAAAUCGCACGGGCUAAUACCCUGUGUGGAUGACGGUACCGGAAUAAGAAGCACCGGCUAACUAUGUGCCAGCCGCCGCGGUAAGAC
rnacentral:rRNA from 1 species